GAGGUGGCUCAUUGGUAGAGUGCCUGCUUUGAAUGCAGAAGGACACAGGUUCAGUCCCUAACAGCAUCU